rnacentral:rRNA from 1 species
UACAGGGGGGGCAAGCGUUGUUCGGAAUUACUGGGCGUAAAGGGUCUGUAGGUGGCCAACUAAGUCAGACGUGAAAUCCCUCAGCUUAACUGGGGAACUGCGUCUGAUACUGGAUGGCUCGAGUGUGGGAGAGGAAUGCGGAAUUCCAGGUGUAGCGGUGAAAUGCGUAGAUAUCAAGAGGAACACCUGAGGUGAAGACGGGUUGCUGGGCCGACACUGACGCUGAGUGCGCGAAAGCCAGGGGAGCAAACGGG